rnacentral:lncRNA from 1 species
AGGGCUUGUGCAGCCUAGUUACUGUCAGUGACAUUAGCAACUUUGGGCUGUUUGCUUUCCCUUUGCUUGCCUCCUGGCACUGAAACCUCAUUAGGGCUCUGACAGAAAAGAGCUCAUCAGUUGCCAGGAAGGCUACUCUGGGCUUCCACUGCCUGUUGCCUAGCAGGCUGACUGAGUAUGUACACUGACCCCAGGUCUCCACUGGAAGCCAGCAUCAUCAAAGCUGAUGUAAUGUGAGCCAGAAGCCCUCAGCACCCCCUGGGUGUUCUUCCAUCUUGCAUGAGCCACCCGGAAAGAACAGCAGCUUGCUUGGGUUCUGUUUGAGGGUCUACUGGCAAAGGCACAGAGCCAAUGAGGCUGGGGAAAGGUGGGGUGUUUAACCUACAUAGGAAAAGCUUUUUCCUCAAGUACUGCAGUGCAUUUCCUUUGCUUGAUGAGUGGCAAGCAGGUCAAAUGGGAUGUCCCCCAGGCAUCCAGUGGGCAGCACUUUGUUUUUACUCCAGUGAACUCUGCAGUCACAUGGAAGAGGCUGCAUAGCUCCAAAGAAGGACCUCUUAUGCUUGACGAGGGUGUAGCCCCAGUUCCUAGGCCCUGUUCUACUCUGAAUGGAUCUAGGCCAGUGCAGAGCUGUCUUGGGACCUACAAGUCUUCAUCAAGGAGCCUCUAGACAAGUUCGUCUCCUAAGCAUCAAUUCCCCCCAAAGCAGGAAGAGGAUGCAAGCUCAGAGACUAGCUAAACCAGGCUGCAGGGUGCACUGGGAGCUGGUGGCUGAGCUGGGAGUCCUGCCCAGGUGGGAAAGCUCACCCUUGCACUUGGCAUCUGCCAGCAUUGGAGCAGCCCGAGCUGGAACAUGUUCUCAAAGGGUUGCAGUUGAAAAGAGGUUGCUCGAUGCGCUUCUCCUCUAAUUUAAACAGAUACGCGCUUACUAUUCGCGCUUACAAGAGAUGGACGUGUGGGAACUGCCAGUUACAACUUGAGCUUGGAAGGGGAAAUAAUAUGUCUCAUGAAAGAUGCAAGAAUUUUCAAACCUCUAUCCAUUCAGAUUCGUGUACAUCACCUGACAUAAAGGCCUGUAACCUUAACAAUCCUGAAUGCUGCACAGAGUGGGCUGAGUCUAGAAGCUAUCCAGUUAGACGAAAUAUGUAUGGAAAGAGGCAGACAGAAGAGGAAGCAUCUAUAUGCCCACAGCUUGUUAUCGAACUGAGUCCCAAUACCUGGGGCAGAGCUGGAGGGAGAGUAGCUGGUCACCCAAGUGUACAAACAUCAGCUAACUCCUUGGACUAGGGAACAGGCUGUCUUCAGGGGAUGGUUUCCAAAAAUGUCUCCAUCUGGAUUGUCCAUACAGCCAGCCUGGAGGUCUACUGUUUCUUCAGUUUGCACGAACCUCAACUUGCUCUUAGACCCUGGCUUUUCACCUCCCAGCAAGAAGUUUCUGCAUUACCUUAGAACUCAUUCAGAAAUGAGAGCACUGGCCUCAUCCCAUCCUAUUGAAUAGGAAGCUCUUGGGGAAGGUGGAGGAACUGGCAAACCUACUGACUGUCAAGCUCUGCAGGAGAGUCUCUGUCUAUGAUUCCCAAGAGUGGAUCCCAAGGACACUGCACUAUUGAUCACUGUAUGCAACUUAAUUCCAAUGAUCCCACCAGCUAGUUCUUACCAUUUAACAAGUACCAGUGUUUCGAUGUGCUUUACAGCUGUGUUUUCUUUAUUAUAAAGCCCAUACAUUGAUUGUUAUGUUCUAGGACUAUUUCUUUAUGGAUAGGGUAAGCAGGUCCAUGGACAUAUAUGUCUCCAAAGACUAUCCUGAUUUAUUUACUCAAUAAACUUUCAUUGAUCACCUU